UACGUAGGUGGCAAGCGUUGUCCGGAUUUAUUGGGUUUAAAGGGUGCGUAGGCGGCCCUGUAAGUCAGUGGUGAAAUAUCGCAGCUUAACUGUGAGGGUGCCAUUGAUACUGUCGGUCUAGAGUUCAGAAGAGGGCAAUGGAAUUCUUGGUGUAGCGGUAAAAUGCAUAGAUAUCAAGAAGAACACCAGUUGCGAAGGCGGUUGCCUGGUCUGUAACUGACGCUCAAGCACGAAAGCGUGGGGAUCAAACAGG
rnacentral:rRNA from 1 species